CAUGAUGCCGUUACCCUUUUCUUCUGUCAUUUGACCCUUUCCUUUCUCUGUAGACGAGAGUCUCAAAGCCAUGAGUUACUGGAGGAGUAUCUAUGUCGACUCCAAGCUGGGGGGUGGCUCUGUAAGGAUCUUAGGAAUGUGUAGGAAAUGGGGAAACAAGAUUGAAAGAAAGGGGCGUCGUGUGUGUGUGAAACUGUAGUCUGUUGGUGGAGAUUAUGUGGGUAGCUUGAGCAAUA
rnacentral:lncRNA from 1 species